rnacentral:rRNA from 1 species
AGUGAACGCUGGCGGUAGGCCUAACACAUGCAAGUCGAACGGCAGCACAGUAAGAGCUUGCUCUUACGGGUGGCGAGUGGCGGACGGGUGAGGAAUACAUCGGAAUCUACUUUUUCGUGGGGGAUAACGUAGGGAAACUUACGCUAAUACCGCAUACGACCUACGGGUGAAAGCAGGGGAUCUUCGGACCUUGCGCGAUUGAAUGAGCCGAUGUCGGAUUAGCUAGUUGGCGGGGUAAAGGCCCACCAAGGCGACGAUCCGUAGCUGGUCUGAGAGGAUGAUCAGCCACACUGGAACUGAGACACGGUCCAGACUCCUACGGGAGGCAGCAGUGGGGAAUAUUGGACAAUGGGCGCAAGCCUGAUCCAGCCAUACCGCGUGGGCGAAGAAGGCCUUCGGGUUGUAAAGCCCUUUUGUUGGGAAAGAAAAGCAGCAGGUUAAUACCCCGCUGUUCUGACGGUACCCAAAGAAUAAGCACCGGCUAACUUCGUA